rnacentral:lncRNA from 1 species
AUGGAAGCCUGCUUCAGCCACAGCCACCAGCCCGUGCCGUCUGGUCCCCUUUCCUCCCCACUGGGCCCCCGUCUAGCUGACCCUGGCCAGGUGCACUGUCCCGCCAGACACCGUCAGCUCCACGCAGUGCAGAGAACCUGGGGAGCCCUGGCCUGGUGGAGUCAAUACGCAUCACUGGAGCCCUCCCCCUGCCCAAGACUUUUUGAAGGAAUGUCAUAAAUAAACAUGGUGAGAUUGACUCAUUCUACAUAAACCUUGCCGAGAGAUCCUGGACCCUUGUUCUGGUUAUUUAUGGCUGAAACCCUGAAAAUGAAUUAGGUAAGUGAGGUGCAGCCCUUCCUGGAGGCAAAAAUAGCGAAACAGAUGGUA